GGGGAUAUAGCUCAGCUGAUAGAGCGCUGCAUUCGCAUUGCAGAGGCCGGCGGUUUGAAUCCGCCUAUCUCCACCA
rnacentral:tRNA from 1 species